AGGAUGAACGCUGGCGGCGUGCCUAAAACAUGCAAGUCAUACGGGCUACCUUCGGGUAGCCAGUGGCAAACGGGUGAGUAACACGUGGGAACGCGCCUUGGGGUGGGGAAUAACGCUGAGAAAUCAGUGCUAAUACCGCAUAUGGUCUAACGACUAAAGCAGCAAUGCGCCCCGAGAGCGGCCCGCGACCGAUUAGCUAGUUGGUGGGGUAAUGGCCUACCAAGGCGGUGAUCGGUAGCUGGUCUGAGAGGAUGGUCAGCCACACUGGGACUGCGAACGGCCCAGACUCCUAUGGGAGGCAGCAGUUAGGAAUUUUCGGCAAUGGACGAAAGUCUGACCGAGCGACGCCGCGUGGAGGAUGACGCCUUUCGGGGUGUAAACGUCCUUUCUGCGGGAAGAUAAUGACGGUACCGCAGGAAUAAGCACCGGCUAACUACGUGCCAGCAGCCGC
rnacentral:rRNA from 1 species